CUGCGGGGCGAUGCCAAAAUCGAAACACGCCUCCCCCUCCUCGUCUGGCUCCCCGUGACCGAUCUCGUAAUCUCAUCCGCACCCGCCUGGCCGCCUUGCCUAGCCUUGCCUGCUCUCCUCAUGCCCUGGCCGCCGCCUAUAAAAGAGCGAGGCGGAGGGGCAGGCGCCGGCCGUUCUUCUCUCUCCUUCUUCCUCGGUCCUCUCCUCUCCGCAUUUCGGGCGGCCACUUGUGGCGGCGUAGCUAGCGUACUACAGCUCCCUGCAUGGUGAUGGAGGGGCGCACGGGCUCACUCUACGGCCGCCUCAACAAGAGCAGCACGCGGGGGUUCCUCGCCUACACCGCCGCCGGGGCUGCCUGCGCGGCUGUCCUCGCCUGCUUCGUGCUCUCCGCCGCGGACUCGCCGGCAUCUGCGGCGCGCAACGAUGGCGAGCGCCUCCGCCUGUCCUCGCGCUCACCGCGCGUCUGGCCCGACCUCGCGUUCAACUGGCGGGUGGUGGUCGCCACCGUCGUCGGGUUCCUCGGUUCCGCGUUUGGCACCGUCGGCGGCGUCGGCGGAGGCGGGAUCUUCGUGCCCAUGCUCAACCUCGUCGUCGGCUUCGACACCAAAUCCGCCGCCGCGCUCUCCAAAUGCAUGAUCAUGGGGGCCUCGGCGUCAUCAGUUUGGUACAACCUCCAGGUGUCGCACCCGACCAAGGAGGCGCCCGUCAUCGACUACAAGCUCGCGUUGCUCUUCCAGCCCAUGCUUAUGCUCGGCAUAACCAUCGGCGUAGAGCUCAGCGUCAUCUUCCCAUACUGGCUAAUCACUGUCCUCAUUAUAAUCCUCUUCGUAGGCACCUCGUCGAGAUCCUUCUACAAGGGCAUUCUGAUGUGGAGGGAGGAGUCCAGGAUUCUGAUGGAGACACGCGGGCGAGAAGAGCAAUCCAAGUCUACCUGCGCUGCAAGUGAUGUGGUCAUUGAUCCCAGUUAUGGGGAGCCCCUCCUGACUCAACCUCAGCCCAAGAAGUCUGCAUGGGAGACUUUCAUGUUCAAUCUGAGGUGGAAGAAUAUCCUUGUGUUAAUGUCUGUCUGGUCAUUGUUCUUGGUGCUGCAAGUUCUCAAGAAUAAUUCAAAAUCAUGCAGCUCUUUCUACUGGGUGAUAAACGUUCUACAGGUUCCAGUUGCGGUAAGUGUGUUCUUGUGGGAGGCCAUGCAGUUAUGUAGGGAGAGUCAUGCACGACGUAUGAAUGGGAACCUGGAAUGUGUGUGUGAGGCCUCUAUUGAGUGGUCACCAGCACAACUGAUCUUUUGUGCCUUUUGUGGCCUUCUCGGUGGGACUGUUGGUGGCCUUCUUGGAUCUGGUGGUGGGUUCAUCCUUGGCCCACUUCUUCUUGAGCUUGGGUGCAUACCGCAGGUGGCAAGUGCAACAGCAACAUUCGUGAUGAUGUUCUCCUCCUCCCUCUCUGUGGUGGAGUUUUACUUCCUGCACAGAUUCCCCCUGCCUUUUGGUAAAUCCAUCUGGCUACCUCAUCUUCAUUUCCAUAUUGGCUGGAUUCUGGGGCCAGUGUUUGGUUAGGAAGAUCGUGCAUGUGCUCAAGAGAGCAUCGCUUAUUGUCUUCAUCCUCUCCUCUGUUAUCUUCGUCAGUGCUCUUACGAUGGGUGUCGUUGGAACCCAGAAGAGCAUUUCGAUGAUCAACAAUCACGAAUAUAUGGGGUUCCUCAACUUCUGCGAGUAACUCAAACACCAUCAGACUGUCGAUCCGUCCGGGAGAAUCCAGGCCAAUGCCUAAUUGACCUCAUCUCCCUCAAAAUCUAGAAGAAUAAAGUCGCCGAGUAUGUGCACAAGUUAGCUCCUCGCCAACAUGUGCGCAUUUAGACCGACAGAGUCGCUGUAGUGAAUUCAGCUCGUGUUAGCUCCUGGCUAACGAGCUGACCAUACGGCUUUAGUUUUGUGAAGUGGGCGCGAUUUCGUCAUGUCAUGCAUGUGUUAGCUCCUGGCUAACCUGCAAAUGCGUGUGUUGGUGCAGGUUUUUGUCACGUCUGCGUCAGCUCCUGGCUGACCAGCAGUUGUUUGUCGUUCAUUCUCUGCGUCAGCUCCUGGCUGACCAGCAGUUAUUUGUUGUUCAUUCUUGCGCUAGCACCAGGCUAGGCUGCAAAACUGCAAAUAUUUGUUGCAUGGAACAUUGUAAAUAUCAGUCAAUUCCCAUUCUGUUUGUGCAA